rnacentral:rRNA from 1 species
GAUGAACGCUAGCGGCAGGCUUAAUACAUGCAAGUCGAGGGGCAGCAUGAUUGUAGCAAUACAAUUGAGGGCGACCGGCAAACGGGUGCGGAACACGUACACAACCUUCCAACAAGUGGGGGAUAGCCCAGAGAAAUUUGGAUUAAUACCCCGUAACAUAGCGAUGUGGCAUCACAUUGCUAUUAUAGAUUUUUCGCUUGUUGAUGGGUGUGCGGCUGAUUAGAUAGUUGGUGGGGUAACGGCCCACCAAGUCUACGAUCAGUAGCUGAUGUGAGAGCAUGAUCAGCCACAAGGGCACUGAGACACGGGCCCGACUCCUACGGGAGGCAGCAGUAAGGAAUAUUGGACAAUGGACGCAAGUCUGAUCCAGCCAUGCCGCGUGAAGGAUUAAGGUCCUCUGGAUUGUAAACUUCUUUUAUAAGGGACGAAAAAAGGCUUUUCUAAGUCGUCUGACGGUACCUUAUGAAUAAGCACCGGCUAACUCCGUGCCAGCAGCCGCCGUAAGAC